rnacentral:lncRNA from 1 species
AAAGAAAGAAAGAAAGAAAGAAAGAAAGAAAGAAAGAAAGAAAGAAAGCAAACAAAGGAAGGAAGGAAGGAAGGAAGGAAGGAAGGAAGGAAGGAAGGAAGGAAGGAAGGAAGGAAAGAGGGCAUUGCUUCAAAUCUGUUGGAGAUAUGUAAUUUAAAAAUCUCAUUGGAUAUUUCUAAUACACUACUAAUGAUACCUUAGAAACUGGCUCAAUGAUAGAGGGAUUUCUAAGCAGUGUAAUUUCUACAUUCGAUGAACAGCUCCAUGAAUAUGCAAUAUAAAGAAUGAUUGCAGCUAACAUUGUUUCUAAUAAGGCUUAUUCCAAUCUCUGGGUUGCUUUUAAUAAUCACAUAGUCAUUCAGAAGAUUUGUUCUCCUGCUCCAUUUUGAAGGCUGUUCUGUGCUUCAUAAAAUCAGUUCAUAUAAAACCACUGAGUUGAUUUUUCAUUUUGCCUUUUCUGGAUACCUAGGGAUACAAUUGCAACUUGUCAUUUAUUCUAUAUGCAUUUUUGAAAGAUAACAUUUUUUUGUAUUUUGGGGCUGUUGUAAAUAAAAUGCUGUAAUUACAUAGCUUAUAAACAACAAACAACUGUCACAUCCCAACCUAGAGGCUGAGAAGGCCAAGUAGAGCCAGCAGAGGUGGGUUCUAGUGUGAGCACACACUUCCUGCCUCACAGAUGAUGGUCUUGCUGUGCUUUCUCCUGUCAGAUGGGCAAAGGAUGUUCUUGGAGGCCUCUUUUAUGAGCACAAUAAGCCAAACCUGAGAGUCAGAGCCCUCAAUGUGAGCCCUUCACACAGGCUCCGCCACCACACACCCCCGUCUUGUGACUAAAUCUCAACAUAAUGGACUGGGAGAGUGGAUGGCACAAGGGUUCUGACUGUCACACCUGGGUGCGUGUCAUUCAAUAAGAGCAAUGAUGACUUGUUCCACCUAGAAAGUGCUCUGAAUAGAGAGGCAUCUCAAUGCAAUUUCUUCACCAUUACUCACUCAUCUUUUUGUGAUAUCACUUUCCUUUAUUAUCCAGAAACAUAAGUGGAGGAGGGAGAGCUACAGGGCAUGGAUCCACAGAAGAGGAAGUAGGAUAUCACUGUGAUAUAUUCUUUGUUUGUUUGUUUGUUUGUUUGUUUGUUUGUUUGAACUGAGUGUCAGAGAUCCUAGCAGGGUUCUACUCUAUGGACUGGAUGCCUCUUCUGUGAGGUCUUGAAUUCAUGGAAGUGAUUAAAAUCUGAUUUGGAUAGAUUAGCAUAUCUCAGAGAUUUCUAAUUAACUGAGAUUCUCUUCCCCUUGUCUUUUUUUCUCCCUCUUUCUUUUCAUUUUCAUUUUCAUUUUUUUUCUUGCCUUGAUUUUUGUUUUUAUUAAGUCAUUUUUUUUCUUUGUUAGGCAGAAUCUCACAUCAUAACCCCAAAUGACCUGUUACUCACCAUGUGGCCCAGCUGUCUUCAAACUCACCAGCCUCCUGCCUUAGCCUUCUAAAUGCUUGGAUUACAGGCAUGACCCACCAUAACUGGCUUUGUUUUAGUUUCAGAGAAGAUGAAACUGAUGUGCGUCAAAAAGUUAUGGAGGCUGGGAAGACCUAGAAUGUGGCAUCACUAUUUGCUGAAAUUUUUAAUAUAAUGCCUCUUAGCCUGGUUUGGAGAAAACGUCACAGAGAGGCACCAUUUGUUGUGGUUUUACAUGAAAAUUUUCUGACCCUGAACCUGGUUUGAUGGAAAUCAUUUGCUGAGGAAACCAUGCCGAUUACCGACCGAGCUCUCAAUGGAAAAAUGCAGUCGGCGUGAACCACGCACGAACACAGCAGAGAAAGAAGAAAACACACACCACGAGGAACCCUAAUAGGACAAUACAUUAUAAGUCACAGUGCUACGGAGAAACCCAGUAGCCACAUGGAAGCAGAGACCAUGCAUAUGCAUCUACUCCGCAGCUCUGUGAAUGUCAGCAGCUCCCACGGACUGGAGAUCCCGUGAGAUCCCGUGAGAUCUCACCCAUAGCCUCAUGGUACAUCCACUUGGUGUGCUGGGAGAGUCAGGAUGAGGACCUGAGAAGAACAGCAGCUUGAACCUGACUUCAUUUAACAGCCCACUGCCCUCUUGCCAAGAACCCAUCACAGACCUUCCCAGAAGAGAGGGAUGAGCCUCACCUAUGAAUAAGUCCUCAGAAACUCAAAUUUGAUUCUAAUGGAUUGUUUUCUCAGAAAGACUGAGCAUGUCCCCCCACAUCUCUGUCAUUUCCCACAGUAGUAACCUCUGCAGAUGCCACAUAGAAAACAAAACAAAACAAAAAAACAUGAGGUUGGUGGGCAGAUAGGCAGGGUAUAAACAAACAGCCUUGUAACCCAGAAGCUGUGUGAUAUACAGUAAACUUCACAACACUGAAAAGAUGUCCUAUCUGUUAAAAUGGGGUAAUAACAACUACCCGAAUGUUUAGGAAUAGAACUUCAAUAAAUGAUACAUUUUAUAGUACAGCAGACCAUCCUGUAAAGGUUUCAUCCUUCACUGUGGUGAUAAAUAUCCCAAACCACAUUGAAAAGCAUUGCAUCUACAUUUAUCUACACUGUAACUGUACUGUAAAUCAUGGGGGAGGGGAGAAUCAUAAAAACACCACCUGUCACCGUGUCAUUAAAGCAAGUUGGAAGUGAUACUUACAGAAACACAGCAAGAGCACCCCCAGUCACACAGUUCAAUCUCUUAGCAAGCGUUUUCUUUCUAGCCCAGUGGUUCUCAGUUUGGAAUUUUUGGCACUGCCUAGAGAUAGUUUUGUUGUUAAAACUGAGAAAAGAGCCGGGCGUGGUGGCACACGCCUUUAAUCCCAGCACUCAGGAGGCAGAGGCAGG